ACGGGAGGCAGCAGUGAGGAAUAUUGGUCAAUGGGCGAGAGCCUGAACCAGCCAAGUCGCGUGAAGGAUGAAGGUUCUAUGGAUUGUAAACUUCUUUUGUUCGAGGGUAAAGUGAGUCACGUGUGAUUUAUUGCAAGUAUCGAACGAAUAAGCAUCGGCUAACUCCGUGCCAGCAGCCGCGGUAAUACGGAUGCUGCGAGCGUUAUCCGGAUUUACUGGGUUUAAAGGGUGCGUAGGCGGGAUGUUAAGUCAGCGGUAAAAUAGUGUGGCUCAACUAUACUUCGCCGUGGAAACUGGCGUUCUUGAGUGUAGACGAGGUAGGCGGAAUUUGACGUGUAGCGGUGAAAUGCGUAGAUAUGUCACAGAACACCGAUUGCGAAGGCAGCUUACCAGGAUAUAACUGACGCUGAGGCACGAAAGCGUGGGUAUCAAACAGGAUUAGAUACCCUGGUA
rnacentral:rRNA from 1 species